rnacentral:misc_RNA from 1 species
UUUUUUUUUUUUUUUUAUUUUAAGCAAAUUCCUACUUAGAUAAGCAGAAUAUAUAUGGAUUAAUUGACAUAUAGAGGAGGAUCCAUACACGAAUUUUUAUAUCAAUUUGUAUGUAUGAUUUAAUUUAAUCUAAUGUUACAUUUGAUUAAGGUAAAAUUACUAUCUAAUUAUUACAUUAAUUUUAACAAAAUUAAUUAUUUAAUUUUUUUA